UGACAACCGGUGCCUUAGGCCUGGCUUUUGCGUUCUGCUGGCCAGCCCCUCGUCCAGGUUGAUGGCACGGCAGCAAAGUUCUUAGCCCCUGCAGCGUGGGCUCCUAAUUUCACGCCAAGUUAAAAAUGCAGCCGAUCGCCCCCACACUUCCAACUUCAGAAACAGUUCUUUUUGGCCCUGGGGUGUGCCAAGGAGAGUGAAGAAUGCCUAACUGCUGGCUCUUCCCCCUUAUCAAUCUAAAUAACCCGUCCUCCCCGGUGCUCUCGCCUGCCUCCAGGAUUCGGGCUUUGAAAGGGUGAGAAGGGGAGAGAGGGACAGAGAGACAGAGAGAAAGAAAGAGAGAGAAGCGGUGCCAACCCCCUGCAACAAUAUAGCACCUUGGAAAUGGCGGGGUCAACGAAAACAGCUCGAGUAAGGACCGUGAUGGGAACUUGGCCCAGGUGAGAAGCAGAAGCAAGAUAAGUUAUCCACUAAAACAUGAGCAGGUCCAGGCCAAAGCAGCCCGACUGUGAAGCCCUGUGAAGAGGAGUAUUCCUGGGUUAACUCAGCGGACGGUUGUUAUGCACUAUGUUUUUCUUUCUCUCCUCUACCAAGUCCCCCCUCUGAGCUCCACUCAAAUGUGUUUCUAACCAAACUGUCCAAGUUGCAUGGGGGUGGGGGCUGGGAAAUUGACGGAAGAAAGAAAGGUGGAGAGGUUUAAUUAUUUACAAAAUUCUAAGCUCCUUAGCUUUCCAUUAAAAUCUUGUUGAAAAAAUUUGAUUUCAGGCCAGCCCCAGUGGCCUGGUGGUUAAGUUCGGCAUGCUCCACUGUGGUGGCCCAGAUUCGGUUCCCACGUGCAGACCUACACCACUUGUCAGCCAUGCUGUGGCAGUGAGCCACAUCCAAAAUAGAGGAAGAUUGACAGAAGAUGUUAGCUCAGGGUGACUCUGCCUCAGAAAAGAAAAUAAUAAUUUGAUUUCAAUGUGGUUCGUUAGGCUUUUAGCAUUUGUUUUAUGAUCUUUGACUAUAUCAAGAAUGAUUUUUUUAAAAUAUAAGAAAGUUAAAUCUUUGAGAGAGCAGCAUAUUAUUUAAAUUUUAAGUAAUUACUGUUUAGCAGUAUAGAAAAUGAUACAAAAUUUAGCCAAAUUAAAACCACUGAUUUAUUUUUAUUUAUUUUAUUUUUCGGGUGGAAUUAGCAAUUUUUUAAAUGAUUAUGAAACAUAAUGAUGCAUUUUAUGAUAGAAAAUUGGUAAGUACAUAAAAGAAAAAGAAGUUGGGCCUGCGUAGGGUAGGGUUGGAGAAUGGGGGGGUGAUCACUAUAAUUCCACCCUGAUGUGAUUAAUGUUUUUUAACAUUUCAGCAUAUUUUCUUUUUUUCCCCAAUUAUUUUAUUGAAAUAGUAAAGUCUUAUAACAUUGUA